rnacentral:rRNA from 1 species
AGGGAAACCGAGUCUUAAUUGGGCGUUAAGUUGCAGGGUAUAGACCCGAAACCCGGUGAUCUAGCCAUGGGCAGGUUGAAGGUUGGGUAACACUAACUGGAGGACCGAACCGACUAAUGUUGAAAAAUUAGCGGAUGACCUGUGGCUGGGGGUGAAAGGCCAAUCAAACCGGGAGAUAGCUGGUUCUCCCCGAAAGCUAUUUAGGUAGCGCCUCGUGAAUUCAUCUCCGGGGGUAGAGCACUGUUUCGGCUAGGGGGCCAUCCCGGCUUACCAACCCGAUGCAAACUGCGAAUACCGGAGAAUGUUAUCACGGGAGACACACGGCGGGUGCUAACGUCCGUCGUGAAGAGGGAAACAACCCAGACCGCCAGCUAAGGUCCCAAAGUCAUGGUUAAGUGGGAAACGAUGUGGGAAGGCCCAGACAGCCAGGAUGUUGGCUUAGAAGCAGCCAUCAUUUAAAGAAAGCGUAAUAGCUCACUGGUCGAGUCGGCCUGCGCGGAAGAUGUAACGGGGCUAAACCAUGCACCGAAGCUGCGGCAGCGAACGUAUCACUUAAAGCGAUUCAGCGGAUGACGAUUGACGGAGCGAAGCGACGUCAAAGCGUAUACAAAGUCGAGUCGGUUUAAGGAUACGUUCGUUGGGUAGGGGAGCGUUCUGUAAGCCUGUGAAGGUGGCCUGUGAGGGUUGCUGGAGGUAUCAGAAGUGCGAAUGCUGACAUAAGUAACGAUAAAGCGGGUGAAAAGCCCGCUCGCCGGAAGACCAAGGGUUCCUGUCCAACGUUAAUCGGGGCAGGGUGAGUCGACCCCUAAGGCGAGGCCGAAAGGCGUAGUCGAUGGGAAACGGGUUAAUAUUCCCGUACUUGGUGUUACUGCGAAGGGGGGACGGAGAAGGCUAUGUUGGCCGGGCGACG